rnacentral:tRNA from 1 species
GAGAGUAUAGCUCAAACUGGUAGAGUACAUGCUUAGCAUGCACGGCGUUCUGGGUUCAAUUCCCAGUACCUCCU